AAAAUACUCCCUCCGUCCGAAAAUAGUUGUCCUAAAGAUGAAUGUAUCUAGACUUAUUUUAGUUAUAGAUGCAUCAAUUAUAUUCAUUUUUAGGACAAGUAUUUCCGGACGGAGGGAGUAGUAU
rnacentral:pre_miRNA from 1 species